UAAGGAAUUUUGGACAAUGGGCGCAAGCCUGAUCCAGCAAUGCCGCGUGCAGGAUGAAGGCCUUCGGGUUGUAAACUGCUGUUGUACGGAACGAAACGGCUCUGUCUAAUACAUGGGGCUAAUGACGGUACCGUAAGAAUAAGCACCGGCUAACUACGUGCCAGCAGCCGCGGUAAUACGUAGGGUGCAAGCGUUAAUCGGAAUUACUGGGCGUAAAGCGUGCGCAGGCGGUUAUGCAAGACAGAUGUGAAAUCCCCGGGCUCAACCUGGGAACUGCAUUUGUGACUGCAUAGCUGGAGUGCGGCAGAGGGGGAUGGAAUUCCGCGUGUAGCAGUGAAAUGCGUAGAUAUGCGGAGGAACACCGAUGGCGAAGGCAAUCCCCUGGGCCUGUACUGACGCUCAUGCACGAAAGCGUGGGGAGCAAACA
rnacentral:rRNA from 1 species